rnacentral:lncRNA from 1 species
AGAAUUCCUAGGCUAAUGCUAGCACAACAUUAAAAGAAGCCGUACCAUCCCUUCAAUCUAAAUGACCCUGAGGGGCAAAGCAACCUCCUCCUUAGUCACCACUUGCAGGAAGGACCGCACUGGGGCUGCUUGUCAGAUUUGCCAAAGAGAAAUAACAACAAAAGUCUGUCAGCCGAUGUGUCAACAUAGCCAUCACACCAAAGAUCGCUACGAUUAUCG